GUAGUAGCCCAGUGGUAGUGUGUGCGCGUGUGUAGCGAGAGGUUGUGGGUUCGAACCCCACACUCUCCC
rnacentral:tRNA from 1 species